AAUUUACUUUUAUUAAAA
rnacentral:tRNA from 1 species